GAUUGUGAGCGAGAUAGACAAAAAAAAAGUUAAAACUGAAUACUGGAGUCCCUCGUAUACAUUACAUUGGCGACAAGGAUUUUCAAGUCACCCAGCUGAUGUCGAACUGAGAGUUGGUGACAAGACAGAGAUAAGUAGCCAAAACAACGGUUUAAAAAAAAAAAGAUUGGAAAAAAAACAGGGCCUGUGUAGACAAGAUGGCGAAAGCAUUAAGUUUAGCACCCAUAGGGCCUUUUGAUGUCUCGACUGACCCUACUAGUGUAAGGCAAAGAUGGGAAAAGUGGUUAAGCAGUCUCAAGCUUUUUAUUAUUGCUUACGGAUGCGACUCAGAAAAGAGCUCUGUUGUUACAUAUAGGAGGUAGUGACCUACGGGAUGUUUUCGAGACACUAUAAAAUACGGGGGAGGAAAAAGAUUUCGAUAUGGCUGUUACUAGGCUCACAGACUAUUUCAUACCACAAAAGAACAUUCCUUCCGAAAGACAUUUGUUUCGGCAAGCAUGCCAAGAACCGGGUGAUUCAAUUGAUGCGUUUGUAAACAAAUUUAAAAAAUUGAGCAGCUCAUGUGAAUCUGGAGCACUUCGCAAUGAUUUUAUUAGUGAUCAAAUGCACUCAGAAGACGGUUAUUGCAUGAGAGGGACCUGACACUUAAACGUUUGCAAGACAUUGCCAGAGCAAUUGAAGCAGCAGAUCAACAAGCUGCUAAAAUAGAGAACCGGUCUGUUAAUGCAGUAGAAUCAAGGCAGUGAAAGAAUGACUACAAACUGAAAGUAAAACCAGGUGCCGCACACAGCAGCCAGAAUAGAUACAGUAAGGAGAAACGGACAAACACUUGAAGUGAUGUGAGCUGUAACCCUGCGGCAGGAGAGGCCACAUAGGCAAACAAUGUACAGUUACGAAAGGAAAAGAGUGUCGGCAGUGUGGUAAAGAAGGACAUUUUGCAUCAAUGUCCAGGACAAAAACGAGAGCUAAAGUAAAUUUGGUGGCAAAUAAACCAAUGAUGUUCAAACAUUCUCCUGAUUCUGAAGAUGAAUAUGUGUUUAAAGGUCAUUCAAAAUGAUCUAGACAGCAUUCAGAACUGGGCAGACACAUGGCAAAUGACAUUUAAUAGAGAAAAGUGUAAGGUACUGCACGCAGGCAAUAGAAAUGUGCAUUAUAAAUAUCAUAUGGGAGAUACUGAAAUUGAAGAAGGAAUCUAUGAGAAAGACCUAAGAGUUUAUGUUGAUUCAGAAAUGUCUUCAUCUAGACAAUGUGGGAAGCUAUAAAAAAAGGCCAAGAUGCUCGGAUAUAUUGUGAAAAGUGUUGAAUUUCAAUCAAGGGAAGUAAUGUUAAAACUUUACAAUGCAUUAGUAAGACCUCAUCUAGAAUAUUGUGUUAAGUUCUGGUCACCUCGUUACAAAAAGGAUAUUGCUGCUCUAGAAAGAGUGCAAAGAAGAGCGACCAGAAUUAUCCCGGGUUUAAAAGGCAUAUCGUAUGCAGACAGGCUAAAAUAAUUGAAUCUAUUCGGUCUUCAACAAAGAAGACUGUGCAGUGAUUUGAUUCAAGCAUUCAAAAUUCUAAAAGGUAAUGACAAUGUCGACCCAGGGGACUUUUCCGACCUGAUAAAAGAAACAAGGACCAGGGGUCACAAAUGGAGAUUAGAUAAAGGGGCAUUCAGAACAGAAAAUAGGAGGCACUUUUUUACACAGAGAAUUGUGAGGGUCUGGAACCAACUCCCCAGUAAUGUUGUUGAAGCUGACACCCUGGGAUCCUUCAAGAAGCUGCUUGAUGAGAUUCUGGGAUCAAUAAGCUACUAACAACCAAACGAGCAAGAUGGGCCGAAUGGCCUCCUCUCGUUUGUAAACUUUCUUAUGUUCUUAUGUUCUUACAUUGUCCAGUAUGACAGCAGAUGGAGAAAUGCAAAUUCUGAUGAGGGGGAACCUGUCAGGAUGCUCAUUGAUUCAGGGGCCAGCUGCAAUAUAAUUAGUACCACAGUCUGGAGUACUCUCCAAGCAAAAUGCGAUAAGCAGCUUAUACCAACUUCAAAUAAAUUAUAUGUGCAUGGUUCUAAACAACCAUUAGCAGUCACUGGCUCAUUUAAUGCAGCAAUGCAGGCUCCUGGCGUGUCAGAUGUUGCCAAUGCCAACAUUUUGGUUGUAGAAUAAGCACAAGUGCCACUGAUAGGAAAACACACGGCAACGGCGCUAGGCGUUCUACACAUACGACUUAAAGUCAGCGUCAACGCAAUACACCCCACUAAAUCAACUGAUUUCCGCACUCAGCUCCAAGAGAAGUAUAAAGGAUGUUUUGAGGGAUUGGGGAAACUAACAGACGUUCAGUUGUGCAUACAUAUUGACUCCAGUGUCAGUCCUGUGGCGCAGGCUGUUCACCGGUUACACACUUUCAGUUGUGCAUACAUAUUGCCUCUAGUGUCAGCUCUGUGGCGCAGGCUGUUCACCGGUUACCGUUCAGCUUUCGCAAUAAUCGAUCCUGGAAGAGACAAACGCGUGAAUCAGGAUCUCUGCAUCCUUCUAAGAGAGCAUGGGUCGAAUUCUAGAAAUAUUCCUAAACUGAAAAUAGGUUUUUGUAAUCAGAUGGAUGUCAGAGUCAACUUUAAAAGGAAUGCUAACCAUGUUUUUAAAAUCCACUUUCUUACCUCUUAUAAGGACUGGCAAUAUUAUCACCCUAUUUUGGCUCUUUUCUUAUAUUUGUUAACUUCAAAUUUUGAAUAUUCCAUUAUUUUAAAGUCAAUGCUACAAAAGUAAAAGUUGUUGCUGCUGCUUCCUGGUAUGCAAUCACUUCCUUUGCUGCAGCUCAGUUCCACUCCAAAGCUGCAAUCAUGUCACAUGAUGUACUACACAGGAAGUGAUGAGAUACCAGGAAGAACCAGGCAUUUAUUACUUUUCAAAGGGAAUUGGGUUGGUUAUCAUAGGACAACAGGAUUGUGAAUUUCAAUGCAAGUAGAGGUAUUCCACUUGUCAUACUAAUGCAGCAUACAAGAAACUUUUAUCUUUAACAUUUAUACUCGGUUACUUUAUAUUAUAAGUAUAAAUUGCUAAACAGGUAGACAGCAUAUACCCUAAGAAGCUGGAUGGAAGAAAAUCAAUAAUGUUUGUUAAAAAAGAUUUGCAAGGAAACAAACAAAAAUAAAAUAAAUUGUUGAUUGAAUAUUGAAUGGCAUCCUCUCGUUCGUAAAUUUCCUUUUGUUCUUAUGUGCAGUGAAUCAAAGGGGCUGCACAUAUCUGACUGCUCUUUAGAGGUGACUCUCAUUCACUUGUAUUGAAUAUUUCUCCGGUUUAAUGGCUGGUAAGAGAAGAUGUCUACAGAUACAGGCCUAAUCUACAUUAAUGACUUAGAUUCUGGUAUAGUAAGCAAACUUGUUAAAUUUGCAGACGACACAAAAGUAAGAGUGGCAAACACUGUUGCAGCAGCAAAGGUCAUUCAAAAUAAUUUACACAGCAUUCAGAACUUGGCAGGCACAUGACUGUGGUAGUGUGCCCCGCCCCUGUGUGUAUUUUAUGUUUAUAUGUUGCGUGUGGUGUAUUAAUGUUGGUGUAUAUGUGUUGGUGCACAGGAUAUAAUGUGGGGUUAUGUAGCACAAGUGUUAUAAAAUGUAUAUUUGUAUUUAGACACGAGGAUGGCACAAUCACUUCAUGUGCAGAGUAAAAGGGGUAUUUGUAUGGAAGCACAGGAAGUGCACAAAGUAGUUCACGUGCAGAUGUACCGAAAUUCCAAUUGAAUGAUUGAUUAGCAAUCCAAUCUCAGUACAGCUGCAUAAAAGGAUAUUGCUGCUCUAGAAAGAGUGCAAAGAAGAGCGACCAGAAUUAUUCCGGGUUUAAAAGGCAUGCCCGUAUUGGGCUCCCGAGUGGCGCAUCCAGAAAAGGCACUCCACGUGGAGUGCAAGAUGUGCCCUAUAGCCUGGAGAUCGCAGGUUUGAAUCCAAGCUAUGUCAUUGCCGACCAUGACUGGGGGUUCCCAGGGGGGCGGUGCACAAUUGGCCGAGCGCAGCCCAGGUAGGGAGGGCUUAGGUCAGCAGGACAAUCCACAGUUCACCAUGCACCAGCGACCCCUGUGGCUGAUAGGGCGCCUCCGGGUCUGCAGUGGAGCCAUUCAGAUUUCCGUUGUCCUCUGGCACUAUAGGUCUGGUGGCUUCGCUGUGGAUCCGCAGUGCGAAAAAUGACAGCUUGGCAGGAACACGUUUCGGAGGAUGCGUGUUUCAGCCUCCAUUUCCAAACUGGGGAGAAAACUGGGGAAAAAAUCAUUGGCAACGACUAAAUUUAUAUAAAAAAAAGCAUGCCAUAUGCAGACAGGCUAAAAUAAUUGAAUCUAUUCAGUGUUGAACAAAGAAGACUACGCAGCGAUCUGAUUCAAGCAUUCAAAAUUCUAAAAGGUACUGACAAUGUCGACUCAAAGGACUUUUUCGACCUGAAAAAAAGAAACAAGGACCAGGGGUCACAAAUAGAGAUUAGAUAAAGGGGCAUUCAAAACAAAAAAUAGGAGGCACUUUUUUACACAGAGAAUUGUGGGUGUUUGGAACAAACUCCCCAGUAAUGUUGUUGAAGCUGACACCCUGGGAGGCCAAGUUUUUGGGAUGGAACCGCAUAACAGUCUCGCGUUUUGAUUGGUCCUUGUUUGUCGGAGGAAUAUAAUGUCAACUCAAGUGGGAAAGCUUGGAGGCAUUUUAACAUUGUGAUCGGAGAGAGAGAGAGAGAGAUAGAUUAAAAUACAUUUUAAUUGCAAAUAUAUCCUGCCCACUAUUAUAGUUUGCUACAGGAUACAUCAGUUUAUCUCUAAUGUAAUUUAUAGUUUAAUAUGUACACUGCCCUGUUUUCAGGCUAUGUCCCAAAUUCUGGGCCGCUUUGCAUUUCAGAUAAAGUUCAAAUUCCGGUCUGCUCUGCAUUUCCGAAUUCAGCCCAGUUUUUGGGAUGUUCUGCUGUUACAGACGACAGCCGAGUUUCUAGGUCAUGCUCAGUUUACCAUAAAUAUGUACACCAGGGGCAAUAUUACAAAAACAUCCUAAAUGACAUUCUUAUCUUAUCUUCAGAGAUAUAAUGUCCUAACUACAAGUUUAGGAGAGUUGAUAUUACAGAAAAUGCUCUGCAAACUUAUUUUCCUAUCUUAAUUUAAGAUAUAUUAUAGCAUAUUACAGAAUGUUCCUAACUUGGUAAUUUCCUAAGUUUCUUUCCUAACAUUUAGGACUGUAUGGAACCUUUCCUAUCUGUCAGUUAGAAAAUGAAAAUUGUUAGUUUGCAAGAUCUGAACAAACCAUGCAAAAACAAAAAGAGAGAAAACUGUGUACAUGUAUUAUUGUUGUUAUGCUUUAGAUUUUAAGUUUUGUUUUGCACAAAUAUUUCUGGGCAUUUAGGUCUUAUUAUAUACAGCAUAUUCUAUAGUGAACCACAAUGAUCCAUUAGUACAUUGUGGGACGAUUGUGUAACUUUAACAGUAAGCUACAUCUAGAUCUAGUCCCACAGCCCGUGAGAGAAGGUUGGCGUUAGACACGCUCAGAAGUUAACUGAUGGUGAUUAUGAUAAUUAUGAUAAUUGAUAUUUGACUCUUUACUGAGGAAAAAUAUAUAAAGUAGUGUUGAUUCUAAUGUGUUAUUGUACACAGUGAGGCGCUCCAUUGAACUAUAACCAGUGGCUCAUAUGUAAUGUAACUCAAAAAAUACUUGUUUGGACUUUUAAUGUACAUAAUUAUAUUACACACUUUCUUUCACACUGGAACACGAACAUCACAGUACUUUUGUUAUUUUUAGCUUUACUUUAGCCUGUGAGAUAUUGUUGUGUGUCUGGCAUCCCUAAUUAAUAUAAAAUGGUGUUUAUGACUGAAAUUGAAGUAUUGCUUCGUUAUUUUUGUUAAAUACCGGUAUUUAUUUAUUGUUGUUAACUAGAUUUUAUUGUAGAUUUUUCUGCGAUCAAAACCUUAUUCUCUUCCCGAGUAAAAUUUAGAGCCUUGCGUUUCUGAAUCGAGUUUAGACACCAUAACUUAAAAACAUGUAUAUUUUGGAGACAGUUACCUGAAGCUCGAGCUGUAACCUGCUCUAUUGGCGUUAGAUAGGAUUUCCUAACUAAUGUUAGGAUAGGAUGAGACACUUAGGAAAUUGCAGACACUGCUGACUUAGGACAUGCUUUUGUAAUACCAAGUUAGGAAAAAUCCUAUCCUAGCCAUGAAAGAUAAGAUAGGAAAGCAAGUUAGGAAAUUGUUCUGUAAUGUGGCCCCAGAACUGGAUUGUGAAUUCAUUUAAGAGUAACCCUUAAUACAUGAAUCAAAGUUAAUGUAUUUUUUUACUCUCCCCAGAAAACAUUCUUUUUUAUGGAGAAAGAGAAAUCAAAUUUAAAUGUUUUCUUUAAAAAAAGCAUAUUUUUUAUUACAAUGAAGAAACUACAUUGCACUGAAAUAGAUACAUACACAUUCAUUAAACAGGCAUUUUCCUUUACGAAAGGUUAAUAUUAAAACACAUUUUUGAAAAGGAGCAUGGUAUUUAAAAAAAAGGACAUCUAAUUUCCUUAUGUAAUGUCCAUCAAUAUAAAGUUAUGCGUAGGGGGUUAUCAGACUUUAAAAUGAAUAGAAUGGCGGUGUUCAACAUAUUUUAUUCACCUAUCACACACACACACAAAAAUACAAUAAAGGCCUUGUGGCAGAGACAGAAUGAUUCUUGGUGAUAAAUCUCUCUCCCGACCUGUGAGGGUGUUGUAUAAAGGGAAUAGAGUGCUCUGGACUGGAUGGCCUCACAAUUAAUUCCCAGGGUUAGGUGGAAGUCGGACAUCUAGAAAGGGGGCAGAGCUGUGGCACAUUAAGUCAUCGCCCCAGAGGAAAAACGCGGAUUGGAGGAGAAACGGCUACACUCGCUAACCAAGGGGGCGUGACUGAAGGUACAAAUAGGGGACGUGGCUAGGUGAUCUGUUCCUUUGUUUAUGGUUAAGAGAACCGCUGAAGGACGAGUAUAAAAUAACUGUGAGUGUUUUGUUUGUUUGUAUCGUCUAAUUGUACUGCUUGUUAUUUAUUAGACGGCUAACACGAUCCAGAGCUGUCGCUUAAGGCCAGCACAAACCCGGACAAUACUGCACCAAGAUGGCCCCAGCUAUCCUAUAAUUCACUAUGCUUCCAAAUAUGACCGUGCACUUACACUCUGAAUAUCUUUGGCAGUCAAUCUCGGAUUGUGUGACAGAGAGCGAAGGAAUUCAAGUUGUAAAUCUCCCUCCCAACUAGAAAGAGUGCUGUGUAAGAGGAGGAUUGAGGAGACAGGACGCUGCCGCCACAGAGCCAGCACACACCCCUGAGCACACCCCUCACUGUAGAGCACGGACACACACCACGAUUCCCCGGUUUUGGAGAGCACAAUUUCAUGCACCGGGAUUUUAUUGUAUUGUACCCUUUGUGUUUGGGACUGUAAACCCGCCGUGUACCCCCGAUACCAUCACUGGUAGAAGGGUGGCUUUAUUAUUUUGAUUUUGAAUAAACACUGAUG